rfam:Parcubacteria (Nomurabacteria) bacterium GW2011_GWA2_41_25 TT58_C0001, whole genome shotgun sequence.
GCCGGCAUAGCUCAGUUGGUAGAGCACUUCUUUUGUAAAGAAGAUGUCCGGGGUUCGAUCCCUCGUGCCGGCU